UGAAAUUUAAUGAUAAUGGUACUAUUAAAGUAAAACUCUUCAGACCUGAUGGAAUUCAGAAAAUGCACAAGCUCCAAUUAAUAUUCUAAACAGAUCCAGCCCUUUCUAGGAACUUGGCAGCAGUCUGAGGUAGUUCAGAUCAAGGAUUCACCUGCUUUCUUUUUAGAGAAAAACACAAAAGCUGGGAUGAAGUUUUAUUGGAAGUGAUGCCCUUUCAUUGUCAGUAACAGGCAAAUGAGUAGUGGAGUGACAGAAGGAGUCCAUCAAAGGCUGAGAUGAAGCUGUGACAUCCUGCCAGGAAAUGGGAGCCUUUCCACCAGAGUGCUGAUGGAUCAUCAGACUUAACUCUAUCAAAGAGAAAAUCUGCAAUAACUGAGGCUCGGGUAUGAGGCAAGACCACCUCUACUCACCCAGCGAUGACCGCCUCGACAGAAGCUGUCAGCAGAGGUCCCUAUGGUCUGCUGAAACCUGGAGCUUCCCUUUUCUUUCCAGUACAUGAAGAUGGACAGAAAUGUAAGUAAAAGACUUAAAAGUAAAAGAUGAAGCACAUUGAAGGGUGGAGAGCAGUGUACGGUUGUGAAGUGAAUGAAUAUUGAAUUGCUGUACAUUGAAGCAGUUAGGGACAUUAAUUACUCUGGAUUUUAAGUAUUAGAAGGGGAACAUGCACUAUACAUGUACUUUUAGAAUGUGUGCCUGAGAAAUUAACAUAUAUCUGCAUAACCCUAAAAAACCUCUAUAGAUUCAGAACCAUUCCUGAAAUUUGCCAAGUUUGUGUUUUGCUUUGCUAGGCACUUAGAAAAGACAGGAUUUUCCCUUCUCCAUCUCAGGCAAAGUGGGUUCCAAAGGGGUUCAAAUCCUGGUAAUCCAGCCUGAAGAAUGAAAUAUUCCUGAAAGGAGGGAGUAUGCUGUCUGAAGAACAGAUCUCUGCCAGGGCUGCUGCUCUUACAGGCACAUCCAGGCUGGCUGUAAAUGAGGUUGUUCAGGCAGUAAUGUAGCCACAGCAGCUCAGAGCGGCACAGGGCACACUGUUUACCCAGUUUUUCAGCCAUGGAACAACAUUCACAUCAGUGAAUGCAGUGGAGACAUACCCAGAAUAAGAAUGUGAUUUAUUCUUUCAAUGUGAGAAGCAGCUAUAUGUUCAACAAAGGCUUUCCUUAGACUAAUGGCCAAAGUAGGCCCCAGUGCAGCUCCUCUAUAGACUGAGAAGAAAGGAUUGUUUGUUGAGGCCCAACUGUCCCCAAAAACCAGUCUGCUGAGUGGAUUCUGUCAUGUAUGAGUUCUCUGCUCGCUCCAUUGUCACAGGAGUUUCCGUGAGCCUGCCAUGCACGGCAUAACUGGGAAUUUACUGCAGCACUUGCUGAUAGAGCAAAUAAUUCAAAGUCCUGUCACAGCUUGGAAAGAACAGAUGACUACUACAGAACAGUUUAAUAUAUAUAAGAUAUUGUUUACCAGUGGAAUACAGGACAAUGUGAUUUUUCUAUAGACCCUCUCAUUCUCAAGGAAUGGCAAAGCAUUUAAUGAAGGAAUGAGUUAGAGUUGUGGUUGUUCAGUCCACAGCACUGGCUGGUUUAGCCUUUCAGUGCAAAAUCAUUACGUGCUUAGCAGUAGCUCACAGAGCUAUGGCCAGUAAGGGCUGUCAUGCUGAGACAGGGACACUGGUCCUGACACUCUCUUUGUCCCCUCAAGCUGUCUGUAGUAUUGCUUGCUCUCUCCUUGGAUGGGUACCAGAAGAAGAAAGAAGGAAACUUUUGUAAAUUCUGAGGUUUUCCCCAGUGCCAGUGACAAUAACUCUGACCAUGUGGUACCUUUUAUUGUGAAUUGCAAGACCUGCAGUUGGGUGAGCCCGGGUUUUUUGUAGGAACUCUGCUCUUCACAACUAUUUUCUUGGUCAGCAUAUGUCUCCUGUAUUCUUGGGAAAAAAAAUAUGUGCUCUCCUGCUCCAGUGUGGGUAGCUAACCUUCCUGAAUUGGUGAAACAGCCAAGGAGUAAAACUACACCAUUUGCUUUCCAGGCAGACUUGACUUCAGCUGAAUUUCAAAGUCAGUUAUGCACGUGCUUCAUGUAAACUAAUGCUCCUGAAAAUUGCUGCUUUUUAAACCCAAUUUAUAAUAUCACUCAUUUUGGGCGCUACUCAUUUCAAGCCUUUUCAAGGGCUGUUUUUAUUUGCAUAUCUCCAGCACUGAUUUUUGGAUGUAACACUGCUGUGUUCUUUGUCUUUCUUAGUAUUUGGUUUAGGUUGUCAUUACAGAAAAGACCACUCCUCCCAGCAGUGAGGUCUGUCUCACCAGGUAUUGCAAGGACAUUCAAGGACGUAGUGCAGAACAAAUGGUUGUGCUUGCACAACCAGCAACCAGCUUGCACGUUACAAUUGCACAUUAGCAUGGUUUUGGUGCUUGCACAAUUUGCAGUAAACUUGGCUGGAACUGUAGGUAGAAGUCAUUGCUCUAAAAUAAAGGUGAUCAGCUGAAGAAGGCAGUGUCAGUCUGUGUGUAAGUCAUGCUCUAAGCAUGAGCCCUGUUAAUGGAUCCCCAGCUCUGCUGUCCCUUCUCCAGCCCUUGCACACCCUACAGUGGUGGAUCAGCACAGAUCCACAGCCUCUCUCCAGCCUCGGUAUUUGUUGGACCACGUGUGGAGCCCCAGAGCAGGACAGAGAUUGUGACUUCAUGCUCCACAAAUGCAGAAUGUCUUCUGGUUGGGCUCAGCUCUCAAAACCUGUUUGUCAUGCAGGUUUACUCAGAUGGGGCUUGUUAUACAGGGCCUCACAGCUCAGUGUGAGUGCUCUGGUUUCAAUCUGUGCAGACAAAUGCAGAUUAAGAAGAUAGUACCCCAAAGGUAUCUGAUUCAACCAAACUCUUCAACACAUCCCUAUCUUCAGCCAUGUGGAGUAUUUAGUUUUUAAUGAUACAUACAUUUGGACAAAAGCACAAGCUGCUCAUGAGACUACAUGAGCAGAAGGAGAGACUGUGUUGAUCAACUCUUUUUCUGCUGGCAAUGAUUCAUUCAGGUCACCCUUUUACUGUAAAAGUUUGGGAGCUGGAGUGAGUCAUGCCAAGAGCUUAAGGGGCUGGAGUGGCUCCAUUGGAUGCAGAAUGAUGGAAAAAGGGUGAGAGGAUGGGGAGGAGAAGGGCCACUGCCCCCUCAUGCUCCUGGUCCUGAUCCUGCAUGAGGUGACGUUUGCUGCUCUGGCUGCUGCUCUCCUGUGUGUGAGACUGAUUUCCCAGUGCCUCCUGUGGCCCUGCCCUGGUGGCUGUCUGUGUCCCUGGGCUGUGGCUAUGUCCCUGGGCUGUGCCCAUCACCCUGGGCCCUGCAGGGAGAGCUGCCCCAUCCCCACUGCCAUCAGUGCCCUCCGGGCAAAAGAGGAAUUGCAGAGUUGAGGCUGUGACUGCUGGGAAGGGUGUUGCUGUACCUCAGCAGCUGGAUGGAUGUCAUUUAAAAUGAGAGAAGGGGAAGAAAACCUACAAAACAAGUUUUGGAAAAAUCUUUAUCAAACAAUACCUGUUGUGGGAGCUGCUUUCAGUGAGAUGCAAACGCAUACUCCUUUCAUUUCUGCAACAGUUCUGAGCUGCUUCAUUAAUAACAGACUUGUUUGGGAGACUGACAAGAUGGGAACCAGCACUGUAAUAACACACUGCUCUUUUUGUGAGGACUGCCAUGAAAACAACGCUGUGUUCUCAUUUUCUCCAAAGACAAGCAGGGGAACAAAUUUCUAACACCUUGCCCUCCGUUGCAGCUGGACACAGUUCCAGACUGACAUGAAUCAAUUAAAAGUAAUAAUGUAACCCAUAGAAACAUUAUUCAGCAAGCUUCAUGUAAAAGAAAGCAUUUCUGCUUGCCUAAUUAAGGGAUGAGAAAAAAAGUAUGUAUUUUUGGCAGUAGUUGUGGAAGUACUUUGCUUUUUUUUUUUUUUCAAAAGUCAGACCAUCAUAGCACAAACAAUUAACAAAAGAAAAAUGUUUCCUUUUCCUGGAGUUGGCUAAUUAAAAACUUUCUCCCUCAUCAAUUCACUGAACACCGAAGGAGACAUUUCGUGCCUUUUUAGCACCUGGAAUGCCAUAUUUAUUUUUCAAUUGAAAAACUGUAUUACAGUGAACUGUCAUACACCCAGCUUACCUGGAUUCUCUAAAUAAAGCAGUGAUAAUCUUUAUCAUUGCUCUCUUGACUUUGUUUCAACAUUCUUUUUAAUGCAAAUUUCCUAAUCUAACUUGUAAAACAUUUAAUAUUUAGAAUAUACUCCUUUAAGAUCCAUCAAAAGAGGCAAAGCUGCACAACAAUGCCUGGUGCUGGAGCAUUGUGAGCCUGCUACAAAGGAAUGAGGUGAUUCUUUCUUUCAGGUCAGAAGGUCAGGCUUCACUGCAUUAAUUUUGCUGAGUCUCUUUGUUAUUUAUAACAAACAAGGUCAUUUAUUUUCAUUUCCUUGUUUCUAAUUGCAUGCAUCUCCUUUGGAGUAUGAACUCGGUAAACAGGUGGCUGAAAUGCUGGGGAAAAUACUUGAAGCUGUUCCAGAAAAAGGGCAUGUCCCACACUGGUAAAGCAAUUUGAUGAGUUAGAGAUUUAGUCAUAGCAGGAUGUGCACCUGCUUGAAAGCAAACACACUUCUCUUUGGCACACACAGAUACAUGCAAAUUAAAAGAGAUUAUUUCACUCUGAAUGGUGGGUUGAUAUUUGAUCAAAUUUAACACUGUAUAUUUUAAAUAAAGCCUUGGUGUAUAUAAGUGAAAUACAAUCUCUUUUCAGCUGCUUUUGAUUUUUUUUUCCAACUUCUCUUUGAGUAUUACAAAUGAAUGAUAUUUCUUCACUAGCUGAGCCUACAAAAAGAGUAUGUCUCUGGAGGAGAACUUUAUCAGUGGAUCUUUAUGAUGAGAACUACCUACAUGCACUGAAAAAAAAUGGGAUAAUGAAAAGCUAGGAUGUUUGACUGACAAGGAAUAAACCAGAUCUUAAAUUUUUUAUACUAAAGUGAAUUCUCACAAAUUAAAGGGCAUUCAUUGGAGUGAUAGCAGUACAUCUUUUUAAUCCUGUAAACCCCACGUUUCCAGGCAGCCCAAAUGGAACUCCUAAAUAUAUUCAUGGGCAGCUUUUGCAUAGGUAGUUGUUGAAUUUGCAUUUCAAAAUACUGGCACUGUAGGGCUAAAUCUGUGGCUGCUUUGUCCUGAAAGAUGAGAUACACUGUGGACUACCUUGAUUUUAGGGGUAUUUGAGAAUAUAGCAGGAAGCAGUAAUUGUCUGGCAUGACUGAGCUUCUGUUGUCGGUGGUUGAGAACAGGUCCAGGGCUGAAUCCAUAAGGGAAACAGAGAGAGAAUUCUCAGCAAGGUUUUCAGGUUCCCCAGAGAAUGGGAGGCACCAUGCCCCGUGUCCACGGGCUCUGCUCUGAGCUUUGGAGCUUCAGAAAUGUCUCUGAGCAAGGGGAAAGCGUGGGAGGAAAGCUGGAGA